AGUAACGCGUGAGGAACCUGCCUUCCAGAGGGGGACAACAGUUGGAAACGACUGCUAAUACCGCAUGACACAUGACCGUGGCAUCACGGACAUGUCAAAGAUUUAUCGCUGGAAGAUGGCCUCGCGUCUGAUUAGCUAGUAGGCGGGGUAACGGCCCACCUAGGCGACGAUCAGUAGCCGGACUGAGAGGUUGACCGGCUACAUUGGGACUGAGAUACGGCCCAGACUCCUACGGAAGGCAGCAG
rnacentral:rRNA from 1 species